rnacentral:rRNA from 1 species
AACGAACGCUGGCGGCAGGCUUAACACAUGCAAGUCGAGCGCCCCGCAAGGGGAGCGGCAGACGGGUGAGUAACGCGUGGGAAUCUACCCAUCUCUACGGAAUAACGCAUGGAAACGUGUGCUAAUACCGUAUACGUCCUUCGGGAGAAAGAUUUAUCGGAGAUGGAUGAGCCCGCGUUGGAUUAGCUAGUUGGUGGGGUAAAGGCCUACCAAGGCGACGUUCCGUAGCUGGUCUGAGAGGAGGAUCAGCCACACUGGGACUGCGACACGGCCCAGACUCCGACGGGAGGCAGCAGUGGGGAACAUUGGACAAUGGGCGCAAGCCUGAUCCGGCCAUGCCGCGUGAGUGAUGAAGGCCCUAGGGUUGUAAAGCUCUUUCACCGGUGAAGAUAAUGACGGUAACCGGAGAAGAAGCCCCGGCUAACUUCGUGCCAGCCGCCGCAGUAACAC